UCCCAACACUUUAAUAUCAAUAAAUCUAGAUAUAAGGAUUUGGCAAGAAACGGAAAGCGGUGAGAAGCCGCUGCGGACGCGCCGCUGUAACCGACAAAGCCCGUUGGAAUUCACCAUACUGGGGAAGGAUUUCAACACAUUGGGGUCGGGAGCCAGAAGACGUCUUGCCAAAGAGCGACCAGC
rnacentral:ncRNA from 1 species